rnacentral:lncRNA from 1 species
GGCAGAGCCAGGUCCCAAUUCUUCCUCAACCUCCGCUCCCCCACCCUAUAAUCCUUCUAUCACCUCCCCUCCUCACACCCGGUCUGGCUUACAGUUUCGUUCCGUGACACAGCCCUCCCCCACCUGCCCAACAAUUUCCUCUUAGAGAGGUGGCUGGAGCUGAAGGCAUAGGCAAGGUUAAUGCUCCUUUUUCUUUAGCUGACCUCUCUCAAAUCAGUUAGCAUUUAGGCUCUUUUCCAUCAAAUAUAAAAACCCGGCCCAGUUCAUGGCCCAUUUGGCAACAACCCUGAGAUGCUUUACCACCCUAGACCCAGAGGGACCAGAAGACCGUCUUAUUCUCAAUAUGCAGUUUAUCACUCAAUCCGCUCCUAACAUUAGAAAAAACUCCAAAAAUUAGAUUCCAGCCCUCGAACCCCACAACAGGACUUAAUUAACCUUGCCUUCAAGGUAUACAAUAAUAAAAAAGAUACAGCCAAGUGGCAACGUAUUUCUGAGUUGUAAUUACUUGCCUCCGCUGAGAGAGAAACGCCAGCCACAUCUCCAGAACAUGAGAACUUCAAAACGCCUAAACCACAUCUGCCAGGCAUUCCUCCAGGACCUCCUGCCCCAGGAUCUUGCUUCAAGUGCCGGAAAUCUGGCCACUGGGCCAAGGAAUGCCCGCAGCCUGGGAUUCCUCCUAAGCCGUGUCCCAUCUGUGCAGGACCCCACUGGAAAUCAGACCGUCCAACUAGCCUGGCAGCCACUCCCAGAGCCCCUGGAACUCUGGCCCCAGGCUCUCUGACUGACUCCUUUUCAGAUCUUCUCAGCUUAGCGGCUGAAGACUGAUGCUGCCUGGUCGCCUCGGAAGCCCCCUGGACCAUCAUGGACGCCGAGCUUCGGGUAACUCUCACAGUGGAGGCCUGUUUGGUGACUUUCUUCGCACCGACGUGCGUGACACAAUGUUUGCAGAAUAUGAAGGUGGCUGUCACGUGGUCUGGGCUUCCUGGAGGUUUGAGCUGGGAGCUGAAGCCCCGUAGGAGUUCUGUAAGUCAAAAGGGAAGAGAAGAGCAUUCCACGUAGAGAAAAGAAUCUGUGCUCCAGGCGCGGUGGCUCACGAUUGUAAUCUCAGCACUUGGUGUCAGGCCUCUGAGCCCAGGCUAAGCCAUUGUAUAUCCCCCGUGACCUGCAUGUAUACAUCCAGAUGGCCUGAAGCAGCUGAAGAACCACAAGAGAAGUGAAAAUAGCCAGUUCCUGCCUUAACUGAUGUCAUUCCACCAUUGUGAUUUGUUCCUGUCCCACCUUUACUGAUCAAUUAACUUUGUGACAUUUCUUCUCCUGGACAAUGAGUCUCAUGAUCUCCCUACCCAGCACCUUGUGACCCCUGCCCCUGCCCGCAAGAGAUAACCAUCUUUAACUGUAACUUUCCACUACCUACCUAAAUCCUGUAAAAACUGACCCACCCCCUAUCUCCCUUUGCUGACUCCUUUUUCGGACUCAGCCCGCCUGCACCCAGGUGAUUAAAAAGCUUUAUUGUUCACAUGAAGCCUGUUUGGUGGUCUCUUCACACAGACACGCAUGACAUUUUGGGAGGCUGAGGCGGGUGGAUCACCUGUAGUCAGGAGUUUGAGACCAGCCUGGCCAACAUGGUGAAACCCUGUCUCUACUAAAAAUACAAAAAUUAGCCGGGCGCAGUGGUGGGCACCUGUAAUCCCAGCUACUCAGUAGGCUGAGGCAAGAGAAUCGCUUGAAUCCAGGAGGAGGAGAUUGCAGUGAGCCGAGAUCAUGCCACUGCCAUCCAGCCUGGGUGACAGAGACGCUGUCUCAAAAAAAAAGAAUCUGUGCAAAGCAGAGGUCCAGGCGCAUUAGAGGAGCUGAAGGAAACUCUAGGCUGGGUCUUCACAAGCGGAAGAUGAGACAGUGCUGCUUCUGGGGCUGAGCCACAUCCAGCCAUGGUCAAUGGUGGCAUGUUUAGCACCAGGGUGAUAGGAAGCCGUGCAAAGCUUCAAGCAGUGGGGUUGCUUUUUUUUUUUUUUUUUGACACAGAAUCUCACUCUGUCGCCCAGGCUGGAACUGCAAUGGCAUGACCAUGACUCGCUGCAGCCUCCACCUCCCAGGCUCAAGCGAUCCUCCUGCCUCAGGCUCCCGAGUAGCUAGGGCUACAGCCAUGUGCCACUAUGCCUGGCUAAUAUGGUUUAUUUUUUGUAGAGACGAGGUCUCGCUAUGUUGCCCAGGCUGGUUUCAAACUCCUGAGCUCAAGCAAUCUGCCCGCCUCAGCCUCCCAAAGCACUGGGAUUACAGGCGUGAGCCACUGCGCUCGGCCAUUUUUCUUUUCUUUUUUUUUUUUUUUUGAGACAAGGUCUCACUCUCAUCCAGGCUACAGUUCAGUGUGGCGAUCAUAGCUCACUGCAGCCUCUAACUCCUGGGCUCAAAUGAUCCUCCUGCCUUAGCCUCCCUGGUUGCUAGCAGUACAGGCGUGCACCACCACGUUAAUUUUUAAUUUUUUUUUUUUGAGAUGGAGUCUUGCUCUGUCUUCCAGGCUAGAGUACAGUGGUGCAAUAUUGGCUCCUCCGCCUCCUGGGUUCAAGCGAUUCUCCUGCCUCAGCCUCUUGAGUAGCUGGGACUACAGGCACAUGCAACCACGCCUGGCUAAUUUUUGUAUUUUUAGUAGAGAUGGGGUUUCACCAUGUUGGCCAGGCUGGUCUUGAACUCCUGGCUUCAAGUGAUCCUCCCACCUCAAUCUCCCAAAUCCCUGGGAUUACAAGCGUGAGCCACCGCACCCAGCCAGGUUACCAUAUUAAUAUGUGGUUUGAGAUGCUUUAUCAGGACAUGCUGGGCACAGGCCAUCGGGACAGAGCAGAGGAGAGCGGGGAGGAAGAGGAGGCUGUUUUCAGGUGUCCUGGCAAGCGGUGAGGGUCCUCUGCCCCAGAGCGGUGGCCUCACCAAGGCCCUCUGUGUGCCUCAAAAGCACUCCUUUGGCCGGGCACGGUGGCUCACGCCUGUAAUCCCAGCACUUUGAGAGGCCGA